AUUGAACGCUGGCGGCAUGCCUUACACAUGCAAGUCGAACGGCAGCACGGGGCAACCUGGUGGCGAGUGGCGAACGGGUGAGUAAUGCAUCGGAACGUACCUUUCAGUGGGGAUAACGUAGCGAAAGUUACGCUACUACCGCAUAUUCUGUAAGCAGGAAAGCAGGGGAUCGCAAGACCUUGCGCUGAUUGAGCGGCCGAUGUCAGAUUAGCUAGUUGGUGAGGUAAAGGCUCACCAAGGCGACGAUCUGUAACGGGUCUGGGAGGAUGAUCCGCCACACUGGAACUGAGACACGGUCCAGACUCCUACGGGAGGCAGCAGUGGGGAAUUUUGGACAAUGGGGGCAACCCUGAUCCAGCCAUGCCGCGUGAGUGAAGAAGGCCUUCGGGUUGUAAAGCUCUUUCGGCCGGGAAGAAAUCGCACGGGCUAAUACCCUGUGUGGAUAACGGUACCGGAAUAAGAAGCACCGGCUAACUACGUGCCAGCCGCCGCCGUAACAC
rnacentral:rRNA from 1 species